rnacentral:rRNA from 1 species
CAAAAACAUUGCCCUCUGUUUAUAAUAUAGGGGGUACCUCCUGCCCAGUGAAAAUUUCAACGGCCGCGGUAUCCUAACCGUGCAAAGGUAGCAUAAUCACUUGCCCAUUAAUUGUGGGCUAGAAUGAAAGGAUAAACAAAAUAAAUACUGUCUCUAUUUAUAUAUAUAUAAAAAUUAAUUUCUAGAUGAAGAAGUCUAGAUAAAGUUGACGGACAAGAAGACCCUAUAGAGCUUUAUUUAUACUAAGAAUUUACUUCUUAUAUAUAAUUUGGUUGGGGCGACCAAGGAAUUUUUAAUCAUCCUAAUAAUUAAGACUAAUAAGUCAUUACAUUGACCCUAAAUUUAGAUCAAGAGAUCAAGCUACCUUAGGGAUAACAGGCUAAUUCUAUUUAAGAGUUCUUAUCUAAAAUAGAGUUUGGCACCUCGAUGUUGGCUUAGGAAAUCUUAAUAGCGCAAUAG